AGUGAACGCUGGCGGCAGGCCUAACACAUGCAAGUCGAGCGGCAGCGGGUCCUUCGGGAUGCCGGCGAGCGGCGGACGGGUGAGGAAUACAUCGGAAUCUGCCCUGUCGUGGGGGAUAACCUAGGGAAACUUAGGCUAAUACCGCAUACGACCUACGGGUGAAAGCGGGGGAUCGCAAGACCUCGCGCGACAGGAUGAGCCGAUGUCCGAUUAGCUAGUUGGCGGGGUAAAGGCCCACCAAGGCGACGAUCGGUAGCUGGUCUGAGAGGAUGAUCAGCCACACUGGGACUGAGACACGGCCCAGACUCCUACGGGAGGCAGCAGUGGGGAAUAUUGGAUAAUGGGCGCAAGCCUGAUCCAGCCAUGCCGCGUGGGUGAAGAAGGCCUUCGGGUUGUAAAGCCCUUUUGUCCGGGAAGAAAUCGUCUGGGCUAAUACCCCGGGCGGAUGACGGUACCGGAAGAAUAAGCACCGGCUAACUUCGU
rnacentral:rRNA from 1 species